GUUAAAUUUGUGCAUCUCAAAUGGACGCUGAAGCCUCUCUUCAACACCCAAAUCCUAGCUUGCCACAAGAACUCAUCACUGAAAUCCUUUCUUGAGACGGAAGCGGAACUCUACAUUGAAAGCCUGGUUUCUCCUAUUUUACAAAAUAAAUCAACAGCACAAACAUUGCAGGGUGCAAAAACCCAGGUGAAUGAAUGUUGUGUAGGUAACAACUUGUAAGAUUUUUAUAUUUUUUGUGUGUUGUUCAAUUCUGCUUCUUUUGUCAAAUAUUGAACAAUAUAUUCCAUAUUUAAAGGCCAUCUUUACAAAACAUCUGCUUAAGUAUCUUGGUAAUCCUUUUUGUUGUUGCAUUUUUCCGAGGAACAACAACUUUUGCAAGAACAUUUUUGGUUGUAGUGUUUGGUGCUUCUGCAUUCUAAGUAAAUGACAUGGGACAUUCUCUCUUUUAAGGAUAUAUGUUGUUCCACUAGACAAAGUAAGACUAAGGCGAACUUGAUUGCUAAUAAUAAUUAGCUUAUAUAGUCCUUGGCAGGGUCGUUGUUUGAUCUAGGGCUUUCUUUAAUGUUCGUUUUUAGUGACACUUAAUGAAGAGGCGGAGGAAUCUCUGAAAUAGUUAAGUUCUGAAAUAUCAUCAAGUUAGGGUGUCUUUUGUUGCUGUUAAUAGCUUACAAUUGUUUCUUUAUGCCUAUCUAAUCAUUUUUAUUAAUUAUUUGGUCAAUCAAAAGGCUGAAUCUUCUUCUCUUUGGUGAUACUAUUGAUUAAAACCAUGAAAGUAAAAGCAUCCUGCAAAAGGGAAAUUAGUCUCUUAGGCAAUGUUACAUCUCACUCUGGUAGAAAUAUGCAAGCUCGCUAUAUGCAAACAAUAAACUGGGUUCAGGUAUCCCUUCUAUAGCCAAAAUGAGAACCUCCAAGCAAUGCAGUACCUCAAACUUUUCUAACUGACCAUUAGUUCAUCUCCAAGUUUGAUUUCUUCUCCUUAUUAGACAUCUCAUCAGAUUGUAAUUACGUCAGCAACAACUGGGAACUUCAUUAUUAGCUCUUUGACAAGAGUGAUCACAAUCAGCAGAAUAUUAACAUGGAAAGCAGUAGUAGCGUCAACCACUGCUCACCAAAAUGGCUGCUCAAAGCUUUUCUAUUUGGAGUACAAAGCGCAUCGUGUAUAUUGUUGAAUAGUGUAAACGUCUCAUUUAAAAACCUUAAAUAUCUGAGAGGGUUCAUUUUUUUAUAUUUAUUUUAGGUCUUAGACACAUACUCUUACGUGUUAGUUUCUAUAACUUAAGGCAUUAUGCUUCGUUCUAGGGCAAUUCUGAUUCCUGUUAUAAGUGCAAGAAGUUCAGUGUAUAUAUUUAUAGCAUGUGGAAUGUGCUGACUAAAUCAUGCAAUCCAGUUCCCCCUUGUGUCUCUGAUCACUCCCCCUAUGCCCUAUUUUCCUGGAUUCCCCAUUUUGAUUUGUACAAAUCAAGCUCCCCCCGGUUCUUUCUAGUUAUUCUAUCUCUUAUCAUAGGGAAGCGCAAGUAUUUACCAAGGUUUUGAGUAAAUUUCAUAGUCAUACAUUUGGAGAUCUGUCCCUUAAUUGACAUUUUGGUAUUGUUUGAGAGGACAAUUCUGGACUAGUCAAAGUUUGUACUUUGUCCCGAUAGAGAGCAAAGUUUAGUAAGUUGUUACGAUUUUCUUUGGUUGCUUCAGCAAGUAAGAUCAGGUCAUCAGCAACAGGAACCGGACUUAGAAACUUAUGUCGGUUUCCAUUUCCUUUGGUUAACUUGUUACAUUUCCAUUUCUCUUCUGUUAUUUUCUUGGAUGUACUGAUGUACUAAAAGUAGUACAUUAUUUAUUCAGUACAACCCUAAAUCAAAGGUAUAAUGAUGUUACUAAAUAGUAGUAUAUUAUUUGCUAAAUAUGCACGAUAUUACCAAAUUCUGAGGCAUACUGAUGCACUCAAUGUAAACCUAAUUUGAGAGAUCUGAAAAUUUGAAAGAAGAAAAUGAACGAGAGGAAACUUGAUUGUUGGACAUCAAUUAUCAUUACAUCAGGUGAAAAUACUCUUUAACAUAACCAAAGAAAAAAUCAUUACAUCAGGUGAAAUACUCUUUAACAUAACCAAAGAAAAAGAAAACUUACAUUUCCAAAGCUUACAUCAAUUUGAAUGAUCUCUUUCUUAUACUCUGUCUUUAGUGGCUGAGCUGCAGGAGUGAAGUGCACCAAACAGACGAAAUUGAUUGCUAGAUUGUACUGUAAGUCUGUAAUUAAUGUUAGCCCUUCAAAGAUAAUGACUGCGCAGCAUAACAUGUUCCUGGACUAACUUUAAAUAUCAUAUUAAAACACGUUAUGUACAACAAGAAGUCAAUCCAUGGAGAGGAAAGGAUUUGGCAACUUUAUUUGUUUGGUUAAAAAAAAUGAGGACGAUGAAAUAAUACAAAAUAGCUGCAUUUGUUUUUGAGCUUUGGACUAAAAAGAGUAAAAGCCAGGUUAAAUAAAUUAGCCUACGCACUCAAUUGUGUGUGAGCAACACAGCAGUUGCCGUGUAAGUGUUUCAUGUUUAAUAGCACACUUUAGUGGUAGUUCAAGUGUCUAAUAGGUCACAACCUCAAUUGAGAUAUCGAAAUGAAAAAUCUUGACAACUUUAGGGGUUGUUUAUGGAAUUGGCCUUGUUAAAACAAAAGGCAACAAAAUCUUAGUAGUAAUAUAUUAAGAGGACUUAAAUUGUGUGCAUAUUAAAGGUAAGGGGUGUAUCUGGAGUCAAUUAAUAAAUUUUGCUCCCUCCAAAAAAAGUAAUAAAUGAAAACUGAUUCUGAAUCCUGAAAAAAAAAAAUUAACAAUGGAGCAAUGUUGGCAUCCAAAAUAUUUAACACCAUUUUGCACAUUGUUUUAGAAUUUUGGUACUAUGGGCACAAUCAAAACAGUAACACAAUUUACUCAAAUAAGAAAGUCAUAUCUUGUUGUUUAAAGUAUUUUAUGGGUGUAGUUUAAUUUAGAACAAUUAGUAUUAUGUAGUAGUUGUUGUAUCCUAAUAAAUAUUGUAGUUAAGUAACUAAAGAGGAGGUAUAAUUGACUUAUUUUCGAUAGUUAGAGAUGUUUGUAUCCUUUAUUGUACUCCCUUUAGAGCUGCAGGAGUGAAAACGAAGUGCACCAAUAUAAUGUGUAUUCUUGAAUUUGGUACUAUCCUUUCUUUCUUCAUCUCCAUUGUUCUUGUCAAGUAAACUCUCAGAUACCCAGCAUUUCCAUUUUCUUUUUGCGGCAACACUUUUUUUGUGCAAUCCAAAUGGAAGCUGAACGGAGCAAACCCACAAGCCAUGCUCAAAUUCCAUCACUGAUAUCCUUGUAUAAGGCUUCAAGAAAAGUUCAAUGUUGACAAACCCUAGCUUGCCCCAAGAACUCAUUGCUGAUAUUCUUGUAAGGCUUCCUGUGAAAUAUCUAUUGAAGUUUAAUUGUGUUUCAAAAGACUGGUUUAGUUUAAUAUCUACUCCUGAGUUUGAAUUGCACCGGCCAUAGAUUGAUGCUGAAAUUAGAUAAAUUUGAUUCACUAAAGUUCAAAUGUCUUGACUCUUGAGCAGAAUCUUAAACAUUGUUCUGUUAGCUCUUUAUUUUACAGGUCUGUUACUAAGACAUUUGACUUGGAUUAUCCCAUGAAAAACAUCCGUAAUAUUGUGGGUUCUGUCAAUAAUUUAAUUUGUCUUUGCAUUGGGAAUGAUGACUUGGUUCUGUGGAAUCCAUCAACUAGACAGUUCAAACAACUGCGUAUGAAAAGAUGUUAAGUUACAUGUACAUCUUUGGUUUUGGAUAUGAUAAGGUUCAUAAUGAUUACAAGGUAGUGCAUAUUUCCUCUAGAUUCACUCAUGGCUAUGUGGAUAUAUGUAGUUUAAAGAGUGAUUCUUGGAGAACACUUGAUAACUUUCAAGGAGGGUUGUUAUUCGAUCCUUCAGCUAAGUUGGUGAAUGAGAAAUUUCACUGGGCAACUAUGGAUGGUGAUGGUUGGGGCAUUAUGUCUAUUGAUUUGGCUGAUGACAAGUAUUGGAAGAUGGAGCAACCCCUCUACGGAGAAGGAGAGUUUCAUUUGAAGCUUGGAGUGUUGGGAAGUGAUUUAUCUGUGCUCUAUAAUUAUGAGCUAACUCAGAGCUGAUGUGUGGGUUCUGAAGGAGUAUGGGGUUAAAGAAUCUCAGACGAAAUUGUAUACCAUCAACUAUCUUAAUGACCCUAAGUACUGCGUGCUUUCUCCACCCAUUUGCAUGUCAAAGAAAUCUGAAAUUUUGCAUGUGUUUGAAUCAACUUUAACGAUAUACAAUCCAGAGGAUGACUCAAUCAGACAUCCAGUGGUUACUUACAUUGAUAGGCUUGAGGCGAAACUUUACAUUGAAAGCCUGGUUUGUCCAAUUCUACAAAAUGAACCAACGACACAACAUUGAAAGGCUGAACAACUCAGGUUGAUGUGUUGUAUCAUGCACCUGUGCAGGGAAGCAAACUAACAAGCUGAUGCUUUGGCAAACAACUCCACUACUACUACUACCACCACUAUAACUACUUCUACUUGUAUUAGAUGCGGUUGAUCUAUCUACUGCUACUACCAUUGUUAUGAAUAAAUGUCCGUACUUGCUGUAGUAGUGACCAGGAGGGGCUAGUAUAUUAUAAUACCCCUCAAAUUUUGUUGUUGAUCAGGUCACUAAGUAAGCAUUGAUACUUAAUGAUAUGUAGCUGAUCCUAAUGAUUGGUUACC